rnacentral:misc_RNA from 1 species
GAUGAAGAACGUAGCGAAAUGCGAUACUUGGUGUGAAUUGCAGAAUCCCGUGAACCAUCGAGUCUUUGAACGCAAGUUGCGCCCGAAGCCACUAGGCCGAGGGCACGCCUGCCUGGGCGUCACACGCCGUUGCCCCCCCAUCUACUCCUUCGGGAUUGCGGGGGGGCGGAUGAUGGCCUCCCGUGCGCCUAGCCGCGCGGUUGGCAUAAAUACCAAGUCCUCGGCGACGCACGCCACGACAAUCGGUGGUUGCGAAACCUCGGUUGCCCGUCGUGUGCGUUCGUCGUGCAUCGAGGGCUCGAAAAAAUGCUCGGCUCCGGCUGGGCUUUCAACGCGACCCCAGGUCAGGCGGGGUUACCCGCUGAAUUUAAGCAUAUCAAUAAGCGGAGGA